CUACAGAGGGUGCGAGCGUUAAUCGGAAUUACUGGGCGUAAAGCGCGCGUAGGCGGCUUAUUAAGUCAGAUGUAAAAUCCCCGGGCUCAACCUGGGAACUGCAUCUGAUACUGGUAAGCUAGAGUUUUGGAGAGGGAAGUAGAAUUUCAGGUGUAGCGGUGAAAUGCAUAGAGAUCUGAAGGAAUACCAGUGGCGAAGGCGACUUCCUGGCCAAAAACUGACGCUGAGGUGCGAAAGCGUGGGUAGCAAACGGGAUUAGAAACCCUAGUAGUCC
rnacentral:rRNA from 1 species